CGGCCGCGCCACUUCCUCUGACGUCACCGGUCAGAGGUGACCGGCAAGAUGUCCGCAGGCGGCGGCGGCCGCUUAGAGCUCCUGUAGCGCGGCUCAUCUGUGUGACAGGGGCCGGGCGGAGGCGGCUGAGAGUGGUCGGGGAGGGGACAGGAGGCGGAGGACGGGUGGCUAGGCGCUCCGGGUGCACGGGCCGCUACCGGGAAUGCGCUGCAGCGCCCCGUGCAGCCUGAAAGGCGAGCCCCGCAGGAGCUCUUCAUGCCGCCCACCGGCUUAGAGUCCUCCAGGAUGAACAGGAAGAAAGGAGACAAGGGCUUCGAAAGCCCACGGCCGUACAAAUUAACCCAUCAGGUCGUCUGUAUCAACAACAUAAACUUCCAGCGAAAAUCAGUUGUGGGAUUUGUGGAGCUGACUAUAUUUCCCACAGUUGCCAACUUGAAUAGAAUUAAGUUGAACAGUAAACAGUGUAGAAUAUACCGAGUCCGGAUCAAUGACUUGGAGGCCGCUUUUAUUUAUAAUGAUCCAACCUUAGAAGUUUGUCACAGUGAAUCGAAACAGAGAAACCUCAAUUAUUUUUCCAAUGCGUAUGCAGCUGCAGUCAGUGCUGUGGACCCUGAUGCGGGGAAUGGAGAACUCUGCAUUAAGGUUCCCUCAGAGCUCUGGAAACAUGUCGAUGGUAAAGCACCAGAGUUGAAGGUCCUGAAGAUACAUAUUAAUUUUUCUUUGGAUCAACCAAAAGGAGGUCUUCAUUUUGUGGUACCCAGUGUAGAGGGGAGUAUGGCAGAGAGAGGUGCUCAUGUCUUCUCUUGCGGGUAUCAAAAUUCUACAAGAUUUUGGUUCCCGUGUGUCGAUUCAUACUCUGAGCUGUGUACCUGGAAGUUAGAAUUUACAGUAGAUGCUGCAAUGGUAGCCGUGUCCAAUGGAGAUUUGGUGGAGACCGUGUAUACCCAUGACAUGAGGAAGAAGACCUUCCAUUAUAUGCUUACUAUUCCUACUGCAGCAUCCAAUAUCUCCUUGGCCAUUGGACCAUUUGAAAUACUCGUGGAUCCAUACAUGCAUGAGGUUACCCAUUUUUGUUUGCCUCAACUUCUUCCGUUACUUAAACAUACUACGUCAUACAUUCACGAAGUUUUUGAAUUUUAUGAAGAAAUUUUGACUUGUCGCUAUCCGUACUCCUGUUUUAAGACGGUCUUCAUUGAUGAGGCAUAUGUUGAAGUGGCCGCUUACGCUUCUAUGAGCAUUUUCAGCACAAACCUUCUGCACAGCGCCAUGAUUAUAGACGAGACGCCGCUGACCAGACGGUGCUUGGCACAGGCUUUAGCACAGCAGUUCUUCGGAUGUUUCAUAUCCAGGAUGUCUUGGUCUGAUGAAUGGGUGCUGAAGGGAAUUUCAGGCUAUAUUUAUGGACUGUGGAUGAAAAAAACAUUCGGAGUCAAUGAGUACCACCAUUGGAUUAAAGAGGAGCUAGAUAAAAUAGUGGCGUAUGAACUGAAAACUGGGGGAGUUUUGCUUCAUCCCAUAUUUGGUGGUGGAAAAGAAAAGGAUAACCCCGCAUCUCACCUCCACUUUUCCAUAAAGCAUCCACAUACACUGUCCUGGGAGUACUACACUAUGUUCCAGUGUAAAGCUCACCUCGUGAUGAGACUGAUUGAAAACAGAAUCAGCAUGGAAUUUAUGCUGCAAGUUUUCAAUAAACUACUAAGUCUGGCCAGCACUGCUUCGUCUCAGAAGUUCCAGUCACAUAUGUGGAGCCAGAUGCUGGUUUCCACUUACGGGUUUUUGAAGUCCAUUUCCAAUGUCUCUGGCAAAGACAUCCAGCCCCUAAUAAAGCAGUGGGUAGACCAGAGUGGAGUGGUAAAGUUUUACGGAAGUUUUGCGUUUAAUAGAAAACGAAAUGUUUUAGAACUAGAAAUAAAGCAAGAUUACACAUCUCCUGGCACCCAGAAGUACGUGGGACCUCUUAAAGUGACAGUGCAAGAGUUAGAUGGAUCCUUCAACCAUACCUUGCAAAUUGAAGAAAACAGCCUUAAACAUGACAUACCCUGCCACUCCAAGAGCAGAAGGAAUAAGAAGAAAAAAAUCCCACUGAUGAAUGGGGAAGAAGUUGAUAUGGAUCUUUCUGCAAUGGAGUAAGUUACUUAAAAUGCUGAUUCCCCUUUGUUGUGGAUAAGGAUAGACCCAGAUAUGUCCGUCCUGAGGAAGGUGGAGUUUGAGCAGGCUGAUUUUAUGUGGCAGUAUGAGCUCCGCUAUGAGAGAGAUGUUGUUGCUCAGCAGGAAUCCAUCUUGGCCUUGGAAAAAUUCCCCACUCCGGCAUCGCGCCUUGCGCUCACUGAUAUACUAGAGCAAGAGCAGUGUUUCUACCGAGUCAGGAUGUCAGCGUGCUUCUGUCUUGCAAAGAUUGCCAACUCAAUGGUGAGCACGUGGACAGGGCCGCCAGCCAUGAAGUCUCUCUUUACUAGAAUGUUCUGCUGUAAAACCUGCCCCAACAUUGUGAAGACAAACAACUUCAUGAGUUUCCAAAGCUACUUUCUGCAGAAGACUAUGCCGGUUGCAAUGGCUUUGUUAAGAGAUGUACAUAACCUUUGUCCUAAAGAAGUUUUAACAUUUAUUUUAGACUUAAUCAAGUACAAUGACAACAGAAAAAAUAAGUUUUCAGAUAACUAUUAUCGUGCAGAAAUGAUUGAUGCCCUUGCUAACUCAGUUACACCUGCUGUCAGUGUGAAUAAUGAAGUCAGAACUUUGGAUAACUUAAAUCCUGAUGUGCGACUAAUUCUUGAAGAAAUAACCCGGUUUCUGAAUAUGGAAAAGCUUCUCCCAAGUUACAGACACACCAUCACUGUCAGUUGCUUGAGAGCCAUCCGGGUGCUUCAGAAGAACGGGCACGUGCCGAGUGAUGCAUCUCUCUUCAAAUCCUACGCCGAGUAUGGCCACUUUGUGGACAUCAGGAUAGCAGCUCUGGAAGCCGUCGUUGAUUACACUAAAGUGGACAGGAGUUAUGAAGAACUUCAGUGGCUACUUAAUAUGAUUCAGACUGACCCUGUUCCCUAUGUGAGGCAUAAGAUUCUAAACAUGCUGACUAAAAAUCCACCAUUUACAAAGAACAUGGAAUCUCCUUUAUGCAACGAAGCCCUGGUAGAUCAGCUCUGGAAGCUGAUGAAUUCUGGCACUGCACAUGACUGGAGGUUACGGUGUGGUGCUGUGGACUUGUACUUCACGCUGUUUGGCCUCAGCAGACCGUCUUGCUUACCCUUGCCAGAGCUCGGGCUUGUUCUUAACCUAAAAGAGAAGAAAGCUGUCUUGAAUCCUACCAUUAUUCCAGAAGCUGGAGUAGGCAACCAGGAGUCUGCGAGUAACCCAGGCUGCCACGCUCAGCUAGCUGGAUUCCAGAACCCUUUUUCAAGUUCUCAGGAUGAGGAGGAGGUUGACAUGGAUACUGUUCAUGACAGUCAAGCCUUCAUCUCCCAUCAUCUGAACAUGCUCGAAAGGCCGUCCACUCCAGGGCUCUCUAAGUACCGGCCGUCCGGCUCCAGAUCCUCCUUAAUGCCCCAGCAUUCAUUAGGCUGUGACAUCACACCACCCACAAAACCCCAGUGGAGUAUGGAGCUGUCCCGAAAGGGAGCAGGUAAAGAGCAGCCUUUGGAGAUGGGUGUGCAUUCCAUGGUGGCAGCCCCGCUCUCCAUGUUUGCUAAGGAGGCUCUGUCAUCGCGACACAGCGAGCACCAUCACCACCAUCACCAUGAGCACAAGAAGAAGAAGAAGAAGCACAAGCACAAACACAAGCACAAGCACAAGCACGACAGCAAGGACAAGGACAGGGAGCCCUUCGCCUUCUCCAGCCCUGCCAGCGGCAGGUCUGUGCGCUCCCCCUCACUCUCAGACUGAAGCCUGGUCCUCUGUGGAGACACAAGCAGGGAGUGUGGAGAGACUGCAGAGGAUGUCUAUUUGUAUGCCUGAGGUUUAUAUAGGAAUGAGUGUAUUGGCUCUGGAUGAAUGUUCCCCCCACCCCAGUCCCCCCCAUUCUUCCUGAAAACAGAGGAUGACUUUUAUAAAAGCCUUCCUGUCCACUGCAGGCCCAUUCAGAUGCUGGUCUCCUGUGGACCCACAAAGUCAGGUAUGCUUGAAAGCCUUUGAUGGAUGUCAGAGGCAGAAGGACCUUUUCAACAGAAACAACUGCCAGAUCUGUGGGACCCAGCGGUUCCAUGAAGUGCUGAAUACCGCCACUUGGAAUUGCUGGAGAGGCUGUUGUGUAGGACUCAAUCCCUCGACUGCUUUUUGUGUUAGCCAUUGAAACUGAACACCGUCAUUUAUGAGCAAAGAGUCUUAUAUUUCUUUUUACCCUAAAGUACAAAAAGUUUUGAAAGAAAUUAUUUUUUAAAAAAUUUAAAGUAACUAUCUUUUGGUAGUACAUUUGGUGAUUAUGAUGUUGCAAUGUAGCAGAUGCAACAUUAUUCUCCAGUCAAGAUGUUUAAAUUAUGUUUUGUUUUGUCUUCCAUUAAGUGCAAGUGAAUGUGUUCAUAUGUAAAAUAUCUCUUGCUGAAUGUGGACAGUUUACACACUUAACACAUAUUCUUUCUAAAAUUACUCUGUACAUAAUAAGCCAGGCAUGGUUGUGCAUGCCUGUAAUUCCAGCAGUUGGGAAGUCGGAGGAUCAUUCAAGGCCAGCCCGAGAUACAUGAGAAUCUGUGUCAAAAAAGCAAAGUGACAAACGUUACUCUGUCUAACAAAACAUGAUACUCUGAAAGGGUGUCUUUAUUUGCUGUUUGCGAGCUUGGAUAUAGAUAAUUUGGCCCACACUGGAGUAUACCAGCAACAGUUUAAAAUACAUGUGCCAUGCUUUGGUUUCGUAUUUUAAAAGUUUGUAUGGUUUUAUGUUUUGGUUUUGAUUUUAGGUUUUUGGUUUUCUGAAUUUACCAGGUUCUGUGUUAAAAAAUAUUUUCAUAUCUAUUCAGUUUUAUUAUUUCUUUUGUUACUAAAUAUUUGACUCAUUUCUUGAUCUCAGAAUAAAUAUUUCAAAGGGGAUCCAAAAAUGCUGGACUUUUAAAUAUACUUUUAGUUAUAUUUAACUUGUUUAAUAAAUAACUUUUUAAGUUGGACA